rnacentral:rRNA from 1 species
AUUGAACGCUGGCGGCAGGCCUAACACAUGCAAGUCGAGCGGCAGCGGAAAGUAGCUUGCUACUUUGCCGGCGCGCGGCGGACGGGUGAGUAAUGUCUGGGAAACUGCCUGAGGGAGGGGGAUAACUACUGGAAACGGUAGCUAAUACCGCCUAACGUCGCAAGACCAAAGAGGGGGACCUUCGGGCCUCCUUCCAUCUGAUGCGCCCAGAUGGGAUUAGCUAGUCGGUGGGGUAACGGCUCACCUAGGCGCCGAUCCCUAGCUGGUCUGAAAGGAGGACCAGCCACACUGGAACGGAGACACGGUCCAGACUCCUACGGGAGGCAGCAGUGGGGAAUAUUGCACAAUGGGCGCAAGCCUGAUGCAGCCAUGCCGCGUGUAUGAAGAAGGCCUUCGGGUUGUAAAGUACUUUCAGCGGGGAGGAAGGUGUUGAGAUUAAUAACCUCAGCAAUUGACGUUACCCGCAGAAGAAGCACCGGCUAACACCGUGCCAGCAGCCGCCGUAA